UACAGAGGUGGCAAGCGUUGUUCGGAAUUACUGGGCGUAAAGCGUGCGUAGACGGUUAUUUAAGUCAGGUGUGAAAGCCCCGGGCUCAACCUGGGAAUUGCAUUUGAGACUGAAUAGCUAGGGUGCGGAAGAGGGAAGCGGAAUUUCCGGUGUAGCGGUGAAAUGCGUAGAUAUCGGAAGGAACACCAGUGGCGAAAGCGGCUUCCUGGUCCAGCACCGAUGUUCAGGCACGAAAGCGUGGGGAGCAAACAGG
rnacentral:rRNA from 1 species